rnacentral:tRNA from 2 species
GCCCCCUUAGUUCAACGGAUAGAAUGUGGGCUUCCGGAGCCUAAGAUGUAGGUUCGAUUCCUACAGGGGGCGCCA